rnacentral:rRNA from 1 species
AGUGAACGCUGGCGGUAGGCCUAACACAUGCAAGUCGAACGGCAGCACAGGAGAGCUUGCUCUCUGGGUGGCGAGUGGCGGACGGGUGAGGAAUACAUCGGAAUCUACUUUUUCGUGGGGGAUAACGUAGGGAAGCUUACGCUAAUACCGCAUACGACCUACGGGUGAAAGCAGGGGACCUUCGGGCCUUGCGCGAUUGAAUGAGCCGAUGUCGGAUUAGCUAGUUGGCGGGGUAAAGGCCCACCAAGGCGACGAUCCGUAGCUGGUCUGAGAGGUUGAUCAGCCACACUGGAACUGAAACACGGCCCAGACUCCUACGGGAGGCAGCAGUGGGGAAUAUUGGCCAAUGGGCGCAAGCCGGAUCCAGCCAUACCGCGUGGGUGAAUAAGGCCUUCGGGUUGUAAAGCCCUUUGUUGGGAAAGAAAUCCAGCCGGCUAAUACCUGGUUGGGAUGACGGUACCCAAAGAAUAAGCACCGGCUAACUUCGUGCCAGCCGCCGCAGUAA